GACGAACGCUGGCGGCGUGCCUAAUACAUGCAAGUAGAACGCAGUUGCGAACGGGUGAGUAACGCGUAGGUAACUUCCUCAUAGCGGCGGAUAACUAUUGGAAACGAUAGCUAAUACCGCAUACUGUGAGAUGGACCUGCGUGGGAUUAGCUAGUUGGUGAGGUAAAGGCUCACCAGGGCGACGAUAGAUAGCCGACCUGAGAGGGUGAUCGGCCAGACUGGGACUGAGAAACGGCCCAGAAACCUACGGGAGGCAGACGGAGGGAAUCUUCGGCAAUGGACGGAAGUGUGAACGAGCAACGCCGGGUGAGUGAAGAAGGUUUUCGGAUCGUAAAGCUCUGUUGUUAGAGAAACGGUAACUAACCAGAAAGGUACGGCUAACUACGUGCCAGCAGCCGCGGUAAUAC
rnacentral:rRNA from 1 species